rnacentral:rRNA from 1 species
UGGGGAAUUUUGGACAAUGGGGGAAACCCUGAUCCAGCCAUCCCGCGUGUGCGAUGAAGGCCUUCGGGUUGUAAAGCACUUUUGGCAGGAAAGAAACGUCGCGGGUUAAUACCCCGCGAAACUGACGGUACCUGCAGAAUAAGCACCGGCUAACUACGUGCCAGCAGCCGCGGUAAUACGUAGGGUGCAAGCGUUAAUCGGAAUUACUGGGCGUAAAGCGUGCGCAGGCGGUUCGGAAAGAAAGAUGUGAAAUCCCAGAGCUUAACUUUGGAACUGCAUUUUUAACUACCGGACUAGAGUGUGUCAGAGGGAGGUGGAAUUCCGCGUGUAGCAGUGAAAUGCGUAGAUAUGCGGAGGAACACCGAUGGCGAAGGCAGCCUCCUGGGAUAACACUGACGCUCAUGCACGAAAGCGUGGGGAGCAAACAGGAUUAGAUACCCUGGUAGUCCACGCCCUAAACGAUGUCAACUAGCUGUUGGGGCCUUCGGGCCUUGGUAGCGCAGCUAACGCGUGAAGUUGACCGCCUGGGGAGUACGGUCGCAAGAUUAAAACUCAAAGGAAUU